rnacentral:rRNA from 1 species
CACGUAGUUAGCCGGGGCUUCUUACUCAGGUACCGUCAUCUUCUUCUCUGCUGAUAGAGCUUUACAUACCGAAAUACUUCUUCACUCACGCGGCGUUGCUGCAUCAGGGUUUCCCCCAUUGUGCAAUAUUCUCCACUGCUGCCUCCCGUAGGAGUUUGGGCCGUGUCUCAGUCCCAAUGUGGCCGGUCACCCUCUCAGGUCGGCUACUGAUCGUCGCCUUGGUGGGCCGUUACCCCUCCAACUAGCUAAUCAGACGCGGGUCCAUCUCAUACCACCGGAGUUUUUCACACAAGAACAUGCAUCCUCGUGCGCUUAUGCGGUAUUAGCAGUCAUUUCUAACUGUUAUCCCCCUGUAUGAGGCAGGUUACCCACGCGUUACUCACCCGUCCGCCACUCAGUCAAUCUAGCUUCCAUCCGAAAAACUUCCGCUAAAAUCGCUUCGUUCGACUUGCAUGUGUUAAGCACGCCGCCAGCGUCAUCCUGAGCCAGGAUA